GGAGAGAUGUCCGAGCCCGGUUUAAGGAGCACGAUUGGAGUUCGUGUGUGCCAAAAGCACCGUGGGUUCAAAUCCCACUCUCUCCG
rnacentral:tRNA from 2 species